CCUACGGGUGGCAGCAGUGGGGGAUAUUGCACAAUGGGGGAAACCCUGAUCCAGCGACGCCGCGUGAGUGAAGAAGUAUUUCGGUAUGUAAAGCUCUAUUAGCAGGGAAGAAAAUGACAGUACCUGACCAAGUAGCCCUGUCUAACUACGUUCCAGCAGCCGCGGUAAUACGUAGGGGGCAGGCGUUAUCCGGAUUUACUGGGCGUUAAGGGAGCGUAGACGGUUUUGUAAGUCUGGAGUGAAAGGCCGGGGCCCAACCCCGGGACUGCCUUGGAUACUGUGUAACUGGAGUACAGGAGGGGCAGGCGGAAUUCCUGGUGUAGCGGUGAAAUGCGUAGAUAUCAGGAGGAACACCGGCGGCGAAGGCGGCCUGCUGGACUGUAACUGACGUUGAGGCUCGAAAGCGUGGGGAGCAAACAGGAUUAGAUACCCUGGUAGUC
rnacentral:rRNA from 1 species